GUGAACGCUGGCGGUAGGCCUCACACUUGCAAGUCGAACGGCAGCACAGUAAGAGCUUGCUCUUACGGGUGGCGAGUGGCGGACGGGUGAGGAAUACAUCGGAAUCUACUUUUUCGUGGGGGAUAACGUAGGGAAACUUACGCUAAUACCGCAUACGACCUACGGGUGAAAGCAGGGGAUCUUCGGACCUUGCGCGAUUGAAUGAGCCGAUGUCGGAUUAGCUAGUUGGCGGGGUAAAGGCCCACCAAGGCGACGAUCCGUAGCUGGUCUGAGAGGAUGAUCAGCCACACUGGAACUGAGACACGGUCCAGACUCCUACGGGAGGCAGCAGUGGGGAAUAUUGGACAAUGGGCGCAAGCCUGAUCCAGCCAUACCGCGUGGGUGAAGAAGGCCUUCGGGUUGUAAAGCCCUUUUGUUGGGAAAGAAAAGCAGCAGGUUAAUACCCCGCUGUUCUGACGGUACCCAAAGAAUAAGCACCGGCUAACUUCGUG
rnacentral:rRNA from 1 species